GGGUUGUGAGGUUAAGCGACUAAGCGUACACGGUGGAUGCCCUGGCAGUCAGAGGCGAUGAAGGACGUGCUAAUCUGCGAUAAGCGUCGGUAAGGUGAUAUGAACCGUUAUAACCGGCGAUUUCCGAAUGGGGAAACCCAGUGUGUUUCGACACACUAUCAUUAACUGAAUCCAUAGGUUAAUGAGGCGAACCGGGGGAACUGAAACAUCUAAGUACCCCGAGGAAAAGAAAUCAACCGAGAUUCCCCCAGUAGCGGCGAGCGAACGGGGAGCAGCCCAGAGCCUGAAUCAGUGUGUGUGUUAGUGGAAGCGUCUGGAAAGGCGCGCGAUACAGGGUGACAGCCCCGUACACAAAAAUGCACAUGCUGUGAGCUCGAUGAGUAGGGCGGGACACGUGGUAUCCUGUCUGAAUAUGGGGGGACCAUCCUCCAAGGCUAAAUACUCCUGACUGACCGAUAGUGAACCAGUACCGUGAGGGAAAGGCGAAAAGAACCCCGGCGAGGGGAGUGAAAAAGAACCUGAAACCGUGUACGUACAAGCAGUGGGAGCACGCUUAGGCGUGUGACUGCGUACCUUUUGUAUAAUGGGUCAGCGACUUAUAUUCUGUAGCAAGGUUAACCGAAUAGGGGAGCCGAAGGGAAACCGAGUCUUAACUGGGCGUUAAGUUGCAGGGUAUAGACCCGAAACCCGGUGAUCUAGCCAUGGGCAGGUUGAAGGUUGGGUAACACUAACUGGAGGACCGAACCGACUAAUGUUGAAAAAUUAGCGGAUGACUUGUGGCUGGGGGUGAAAGGCCAAUCAAACCGGGAGAUAGCUGGUUCUCCCCGAAAGCUAUUUAGGUAGCGCCUCGUGAAUUCAUCUCCGGGGGUAGAGCACUGUUUCGGCAAGGGGGUCAUCCCGACUUACCAACCCGAUGCAAACUGCGAAUACCGGAGAAUGUUAUCACGGGAGACACACGGCGGGUGCUAACGUCCGUCGUGAAGAGGGAAACAACCCAGACCGCCAGCUAAGGUCCCAAAGUCAUGGUUAAGUGGGAAACGAUGUGGGAAGGCCCAGACAGCCAGGAUGUUGGCUUAGAAGCAGCCAUCAUUUAAAGAAAGCGUAAUAGCUCACUGGUCGAGUCGGCCUGCGCGGAAGAUGUAACGGGGCUAAACCAUGCACCGAAGCUGCGGCAGCGACGCUUAUGCGUUGUUGGGUAGGGGAGCGUUCUGUAAGCCUGCGAAGGUGUGCUGUGAGGCAUGCUGGAGGUAUCAGAAGUGCGAAUGCUGACAUAAGUAACGAUAAAGCGGGUGAAAAGCCCGCUCGCCGGAAGACCAAGGGUUCCUGUCCAACGUUAAUCGGGGCAGGGUGAGUCGACCCCUAAGGCGAGGCCGAAAGGCGUAGUCGAUGGGAAACAGGUUAAUAUUCCUGUACUUGGUGUUACUGCGAAGGGGGGACGGAGAAGGCUAUGUUGGCCGGGCGACGGUUGUCCCGGUUUAAGCGUGUAGGCUGGUUUUCCAGGCAAAUCCGGAAAAUCAAGGCUGAGGCGUGAUGACGAGGCACUACGGUGCUGAAGCAACAAAUGCCCUGCUUCCAGGAAAAGCCUCUAAGCAUCAGGUAACAUCAAAUCGUACCCCAAACCGACACAGGUGGUCAGGUAGAGAAUACCAAGGCGCUUGAGAGAACUCGGGUGAAGGAACUAGGCAAAAUGGUGCCGUAACUUCGGGAGAAGGCACGCUGAUAUGUAGGUGAAGUCCCUCGCGGAUGGAGCUGAAAUCAGUCGAAGAUACCAGCUGGCUGCAACUGUUUAUUAAAAACACAGCACUGUGCAAACACGAAAGUGGACGUAUACGGUGUGACGCCUGCCCGGUGCCGGAAGGUUAAUUGAUGGGGUCAGCGCAAGCGAAGCUCUUGAUCGAAGCCCCGGUAAACGGCGGCCGUAACUAUAACGGUCCUAAGGUAGCGAAAUUCCUUGUCGGGUAAGUUCCGACCUGCACGAAUGGCGUAAUGAUGGCCAGGCUGUCUCCACCCGAGACUCAGUGAAAUUGAACUCGCUGUGAAGAUGCAGUGUACCCGCGGCAAGACGGAAAGACCCCGUGAACCUUUACUAUAGCUUGACACUGAACAUUGAGCCUUGAUGUGUAGGAUAGGUGGGAGGCUUUGAAGUGUGGACGCCAGUCUGCAUGGAGCCGACCUUGAAAUACCACCCUUUAAUGUUUGAUGUUCUAACGUUGACCCGUAAUCCGGGUUGCGGACAGUGUCUGGUGGGUAGUUUGACUGGGGCGGUCUCCUCCUAAAGAGUAACGGAGGAGCACGAAGGUUGGCUAAUCCUGGUCGGACAUCAGGAGGUUAGUGCAAUGGCAUAAGCCAGCUUGACUGCGAGCGUGACGGCGCGAGCAGGUGCGAAAGCAGGUCAUAGUGAUCCGGUGGUUCUGAAUGGAAGGGCCAUCGCUCAACGGAUAAAAGGUACUCCGGGGAUAACAGGCUGAUACCGCCCAAGAGUUCAUAUCGACGGCGGUGUUUGGCACCUCGAUGUCGGCUCAUCACAUCCUGGGGCUGAAGUAGGUCCCAAGGGUAUGGCUGUUCGCCAUUUAAAGUGGUACGCGAGCUGGGUUUAGAACGUCGUGAGACAGUUCGGUCCCUAUCUGCCGUGGGCGCUGGAGAACUGAGGGGGGCUGCUCCUAGUACGAGAGGACCGGAGUGGACGCAUCACUGGUGUUCGGGUUGUCAUGCCAAUGGCACUGCCCGGUAGCUAAAUGCGGAAGAGAUAAGUGCUGAAAGCAUCUAAGCACGAAACUUGCCCCGAGAUGAGUUCUCCCUGACCCUUUAAGGGUCCUGAAGGAACGUUGAAGACGACGACGUUGAUAGGCCGGGUGUGUAAGCGCAGCGAUGCGUUGAGCUAACCGGUACUAAUGAACCGUGAGGCUUAACCUUACAACGCCGAAG
rnacentral:rRNA from 1 species